rnacentral:rRNA from 1 species
GACGAACGCUGGCGGCGUGCCUAAUACAUGCAAGUCGAACGCAGUGGGGACGGGUGAGUAACACGUGGGUAACCUCCCAUCAGAGGGGAUAACACUUGGAAUCAUGUGCUAACCCGAUACUGACGGAUGGACCCGCGGUGCAUUUGCUUGGUGGUGAGGUAACGGCUCACCAAGGCCACGAUGCAUAGCCGGCCUGAGAGGGUGAUCGGCAACACUGGGACUGAGACACGGCCCAGACUCCUACGGGAGGCAGCAGUAGGGAAUCUUCGGCAAUGGACGAAAGUCUGACCGAGCAACGCCGCGUGAGUGAAGAAGGUUUUCGGAUCGUAAAACUCUGUUGUUAGAGAAGCGGUAUCUGACCAGAAAGCCACGGCUAACUACGUGCCAGCCGCCGCGGUAAUAC